GAUGAACGCUGGCGGCGUGCCUAAUACAUGCAAGUCGAGCGAACAGAUCAGGCGCUUGCUCCUUUGACGUUAGCGGCGGACGGGUGAGUAACACGUGUGUAACCUACCUAUAAGACUGGAAUAACUCCGGGAAACCGGGGCUAAUGCCGGAUAACCUUUAGAACCGCAUGGUUCUAAAGUGAAAUAUGGUUUUUCUAUCACUUCUAGCUGGACCCCCGCCGUAUUGGCUGGUUGGUAAGUUAACGGCUUACCAAGGCAACCAUACGUUGCCGACCGGAGAGGGGGAUCGGCGACAUGGGAACGGAGACGCGGACCAGGCUCCUACGGGAGGCAGCAGUAGGGAAUCUGCGGCAAUGGGCGAGAGCCUGACGGAGCAACCGCACGUGAGUGAUGAAGGUGUCGGGAGCGUAAAACUGGGUUACGAGGGAAGAACAAAUGUGUAAGUAAAUGUGGACGUAGUGACGGUACCGAAUCAGAAAGCAACGGCUAACUACGUG
rnacentral:rRNA from 1 species